rnacentral:tRNA from 1 species
GAGGAUAUAGCUCAGUGGUAGAGCACAUGCUUAGCAUGCACAAAGUCCUGGGUUCAAUCCCCAGUACCUACA